rnacentral:misc_RNA from 1 species
AACGCACAUUGCGCCCGCCAGUAUUCUGGCGGGCAUGCCUGUUCGAGCGUCAUUUCAACCCUCAAGCUCAGCUUGGUGUUGGGGAUCGGCAAGGCGUCCUCCGGGUCGCGCCGUCCCCCAAAUAUAGUGGCGGUCUCGCUGUAGCUUCCUCUGCGUAGUAAUACACCUCGCUCUGGAGUCUCGGUGCGGCCACGCCGUAAAACCCCCAACUUUUUCUGGUUGACCUCGAAUCAGGUAGGACUACCCGCUGAACUUAA